UACGAAGGGGGCUAGCGUUGUUCGGAAUUACUGGGCGUAAAGCGUGCGCAGGCGGUUCGUUGUGUCGGUGGUGAAAGCCCCGGGCUUAACCUGGGAAUGGCCAUGGAAACUGGCGAACUGGAGUGUGGCAGAGGGGGGUGGAAUUCCGCGGUGUAGCAGUGAAAUGCGUAGAGAAUGCGGAGGAACACCGAUGGCGGAAGGCAGCCCCCUGGGCUAACACUGGACGCC
rnacentral:rRNA from 1 species